rnacentral:rRNA from 1 species
UACGUAGGGACCGAGCGUUGUCCGGAAUCAUUGGGCGUAAAGAGCGUGUAGGCGGCCUUUUAAGUCCUGCGUGAAAUCCUGCGGCUCAACCGCAGACGGUCGUGGGAAACUGGAAGGCUAGAGUGCGGGAGAGGAGAGUGGAAUUCCCGGUGUAGCGGUGAAAUGCGUAGAUAUCAGGAGGAACACCGGUGGCGAAGGCGGCUACCUGGACAGAAACUGACGCUGAGGCGCGAAAGCUAGGGGAGCAAACAGG